rnacentral:rRNA from 1 species
UACGUAGGGUGCAAGCGUUGUCCGGAAUUAUUGGGCGUAAAGAGCUCGUAGGCGGUUUGUCGCGUCUGCUGUGAAAACCUGAGGCUCAACCUCGGGCUUGCAGUGGGUACGGGCAGACUAGAGUGCGGUAGGGGUGACUGGAAUUCCUGGCGUAGCGGUGGAAUGCGCAGAUAUCAGGAGGAACACCGAUGGCGAAGGCAGGUCACUGGGCCGCAACCGACGCUGGAGGAAGCGAAAGCAUGGGGAGCGAACAGG